UGUCAUAAGAUUUCCCAAAAAUCAAUCUCAAUGAAGAGGGUGUUGAAAUUAAGGAAACAUUUGAGGGCAUUCCAUAACUUUUUCCCCUUCAAGCAAUAUCACAGACAACCUUCCAACUAAAGUCAAAAAAAUUGAAACCCAUUUUUGAGAGUUGUUGGUGCAACAUCCUAUAACUGACGAAAACGUUAGGAAAUCUGGAGACGUUGUCGGGGACCCUGGGAAGAGUUAUCUUUUAUUUUUAACAGCUUGCCCACCCUGAAAUCGGCUCAACCAGAGAUAGGGUCUAGCAGCUGGAAGAGCAUCACAUGUCUUGCAGUGUUCAGUGCACCCUCGACGACCCUUGAAAAUCUGGAGGACCGAGUACCGUCCAUGCCCGGUCGUACUCAUAACCGCAUCAGGUCUCCAAGGUGAACAACCUUU
rfam:Picea glauca, whole genome shotgun sequence.